rnacentral:rRNA from 1 species
GAUGAACGCUGGCGGCGUGCCUAAUACAUGCAAGUCGAGCGAACGGACGAGAAGCUUGCUUCUCUGAUGUUAGCGGCGGACGGGUGAGUAACACGUGGAUAACCUACCUAUAAGACUGGGAUAACUUCGGGAAACCGGAGCUAAUACCGGAUAAUAUUUUGAACCGCAUGGUUCAAAAGUGAAAGACGGUCUUGCUGUCACUUAUAGAUGGAUCCGCGCUGCAUUAGCUAGUUGGUAAGGUAACGGCUUACCAAGGCAACGAUGCAUAGCCGACCUGAGAGGGUGAUCGGCCACACUGGAACUGAGACACGGUCCAGACUCCUACGGGAGGCAGCAGUAGGGAAUCUUCCGCAAUGGGCGAAAGCCUGACGGAGCAACGCCGCGUGAGUGAUGAAGGUCUUCGGAUCGUAAAACUCUGUUAUUAGGGAAGAACAUAUGUGUAAGUAACUAUGCACAUCUUGACGGUACCUAAUCAGAAAGCCACGGCUAACUACGUGCCAGCAGCCGCGGUAAUACGUAGGUGGCAAGCGUUAUCCGGAAUUAUUGGGCGUAAAGCGCGCGUAGGCGGUUUUUUAAGUCUGAUGUGAAAGCCCACGGCUCAACCGUGGAGGGUCAUUGGAAACUGGAAAACUUGAGUGCAGAAGAGGAAAGUGGAAUUCCAUGUGUAGCGGUGAAAUGCGCAGAGAUAUGGAGGAACACCAGUGGCGAAGGCGACUUUCUGGUCUGUAACUGACGCUGAUGUGCGAAAGCGUGGGGAUCAAACAGGAUUAGAUACCCUGGUAGUCCACGCCGUAAACGAUGAGUGCUAAGUGUUAGGGGGUUUCCGCCCCUUAGUGCUGCAGCUAACGCAUUAAGCACUCCGCCUGGGGAGUACGACCGCAAGGUUGAAACUCAAAGGAAUUGACGGGGACCCGCACAAGCGGUGGAGCAUGUGGUUUAAUUCGAAGCAACGCGAAGAACCUUACCAAAUCUUGACAUCCUUUGACAACUCUAGAGAUAGAGCCUUCCCCUUCGGGGGGGCAAAGUGACAGGUGGUGCAUGGUUGUCGUCAGCUCGUGUCGUGAGAUGUUGGGUUAAGUCCCGCAACGAGCGCAACCCUUAAGCUUAGUUGCCAUCAUUAAGUUGGGCACUCUAAGUUGACUGCCGGUGACAAACCGGAGGAAGGUGGGGAUGACGUCAAAUCAUCAUGCCCCUUAUGAUUUGGGCUACACACGUGCUACAAUGGACAAUACAAAGGGCAGCGAAACCGCGAGGUCAAGCAAAUCCCAUAAAGUUGUUCUCAGUUCGGAUUGUAGUCUGCAACUCGACUACAUGAAGCUGGAAUCGCUAGUAAUCGUAGAUCAGCAUGCUACGGUGAAUACGUUCCCGGGUCU